rnacentral:rRNA from 7 species
AAAUUGAAGAGUUUGAUCAUGGCUCAGAUUGAACGCUGGCGGCAGGCCUAACACAUGCAAGUCGAACGGUAACAGGAAGCAGCUUGCUGCUUUGCUGACGAGUGGCGGACGGGUGAGUAAUGUCUGGGAAACUGCCUGAUGGAGGGGGAUAACUACUGGAAACGGUGGCUAAUACCGCAUAACGUCGCAAGACCAAAGAGGGGGACCUUCGGGCCUCUUGCCAUCAGAUGUGCCCAGAUGGGAUUAGCUUGUUGGUGAGGUAACGGCUCACCAAGGCGACGAUCCCUAGCUGGUCUGAGAGGAUGACCAGCCACACUGGAACUGAGACACGGUCCAGACUCCUACGGGAGGCAGCAGUGGGGAAUAUUGCACAAUGGGCGCAAGCCUGAUGCAGCCAUGCCGCGUGUAUGAAGAAGGCCUUCGGGUUGUAAAGUACUUUCAGCGGGGAGGAAGGUGUUGCGGUUAAUAACCGCAGCAAUUGACGUUACCCGCAGAAGAAGCACCGGCUAACUCCGUGCCAGCAGCCGCGGUAAUACGGAGGGUGCAAGCGUUAAUCGGAAUUACUGGGCGUAAAGCGCACGCAGGCGGUCUGUCAAGUCGGAUGUGAAAUCCCCGGGCUCAACCUGGGAACUGCAUUCGAAACUGGCAGGCUUGAGUCUUGUAGAGGGGGGUAGAAUUCCAGGUGUAGCGGUGAAAUGCGUAGAGAUCUGGAGGAAUACCGGUGGCGAAGGCGGCCCCCUGGACAAAGACUGACGCUCAGGUGCGAAAGCGUGGGGAGCAAACAGGAUUAGAUACCCUGGUAGUCCACGCCGUAAACGAUGUCUACUUGGAGGUUGUGCCCUUGAGGCGUGGCUUCCGGAGCUAACGCGUUAAGUAGACCGCCUGGGGAGUACGGCCGCAAGGUUAAAACUCAAAUGAAUUGACGGGGGCCCGCACAAGCGGUGGAGCAUGUGGUUUAAUUCGAUGCAACGCGAAGAACCUUAC